rnacentral:pre_miRNA from 14 species
AAUUGCCCAUUUCAUAUAGUUUAGUGGUACAAUACCUCAGUCUUUUCAGGUGUUCUAUAAAAUCACCUGGAAAUAUUGAGGUUGAGUUUCACUGAACACAGGCUUCAUGUUUUUUGU